GUCCCCUUUCCGGCCAUCUCGGAGGAUACAGAGCAGCAUGGAGGUGUGGAUUACAGGAUAAGGCGGGGGGCAGUCUAGAAUUAGUUUUAUCCGCUGAGUUCUUAACCACUGCUGUGCAAAGUCCAUGCCUCUCGUUGACUAUCUCCCACCCGGCCAACCUGACCACAUAGGGACAAAGAACAUCUGUUACCAGACAUCUGUUACCAGACAUCUCAGGCUUUGUGGAGAACUGAGAAUGGGUUGGAAACCUUCCUUUGUAUGGCGGGAGAGAGAGCUCGGUAGUAAAAUGCUGGCUGUGCAAGCCUGAGGCGCUGACUUUGGUCCCCAGCACACACUCAUAAAAGAUGGGCAUGAUAGCUCACACUUGUAAUCCAAAAACUGGGGAGAAGAAGAAGAAGAAGAAGAAGAAGAAGAAGAAGAAGAAGAAGAAGAAGAAGAAGAAGAAGAAGAAGAAGAAGAAGAAGACAGGACGAUCUCUGGAGCUCAGUGGUUAGUUAGUCCUGCCCAUGUGAGUACCAGACCAAAUGGGAGAACCUACUUCAAGAAACAAGACGGCAGCUCCUAGGGAAUGACGUCUGAGGUUGACCUCUGGCUUACACACACACACACACACACACACACACACACACACACACACACACACACACACCAUCCUUGGUAGACAGGAACCUUGAAAGAAUAGCCAGGGUUUCUCCCCAAAUGGAGCUGUGGAUAUGGCAAGCAUCCUGACCACCAGCCUGCACAUUGGAUGGAAUGACCCAGUACAACAUCUCUCAUGAGUAUCCCAGCUUCUGAAAGAAUCAAAUGGGAAGUAUGGCUGGUUCCCGAAGCUAUAUAAAGCUCCUAACUUCUUCCAGGAGUCUUCUAGAAGUAUCUCCAUUGCUUGUCCAUGUGACCUUGGAUGAUUUUGCUCCCAUCAAUACUUCAUGAGUUCACACGGUUAUAGUGAAGAUUCCAAGUGAGUUCCUAUGGCUUCCACAUGCCAGCUUCUGACAUAUUUGUCCAUCAUAUGUUUUCUACUGCAGCCUUGUAGAGCUAUGAGUGUUGUAGAGUCAUAGCCAUGGGGUUCAGGGGUGACUAUGCUGGCAGACUUUGCAGUUUCUCAUGCUGCUUUUACACCCCCAACUGUUGCUUGCUUCAGAACACUGCUGGCCAUUCGGUUCACGGAAGGCUUUUCUCAGGUGAAAAAGCCACUGCUACAUUUGGGUGUCAUCUGUUUCGUCGACUUCUGACAAGACAAAGUUAGGGUUAUCAUAGCCUCUCUUCAUCCUGGCCCUGACAUCCUUCUCAUUAUAAAGGCACAUGGCACAGUGAGGGGUCUCCACUUCCACCGUCUUACCGAAGUUAUGGAAAUCCACACGGUACUUCCCUUCCUUGGUCUUGGAUACUAUGGGGACAAAACGGUAGCCCCAAAGCACCUCCUCUGGGACGUAUGAUGUGCGGACCUGACAGGUUGCACUGGUGGAUUCCACCGUGCCAUCUAAAAAGACAACUAAUUCAAAGUCCUGCUGGGGAAGUGUUUCUGCUGCCAUAUGGAAGAAAGGACUGUUGUGGUCAAUGACAUGGUAGAUUGUCAGCGGGGAGAUAAAGAACAAAUUCUCAUUGCCAGCAUCGACUACGAAGUUGAUAUUGGUCUGGUCCAAAAUAAUGGUUUCUCCUUCAGGAGUGAUGGUAGUCUUCAGAAGCUUGCCGUAUAUGUGACUGCCAAUCAGAAGGCUCUUCCUAAGAUUAGCCACUCGGAUGAGGAGGCAGAGCUUCCCACCACGCUUGCUGAUCACCGCAUUCUUGCUGAAUGUAAUGGUCUUAGCACGUUUCUUGGGUCUAGAGAUCUUGGCUAAGAUGGCACCGCACAUGAAUGAAUUGAUGAUCACUCCAAGAAUGGAUUGGAAGAUAAGCAGGAAAAUGGCAGUGGCGCACUGUUCCGUCACAAACCUGAAUCCAUAGCCUAUGGUCACUUGAGUCUCCAGAGAAAACAGAAAAGCUGAGGUCAUGCCAUUAAUGUUCUCCACACAAGGAGUACGAUUGUCAGGAGGGUAGAACUCUGGGAGGUCCUUAUGAACAUAGGCUACCACAUACCACAGGAGACCAAAUAGGAACCAGCUCCCCAAAAAAGCAGUGAUGAACACAGUCAUUUUGUACCUCCAUUUGAGGUCAAGCACAGUUGUCCAGAUGUCCACAAAGAAUAUAAACCGUGACUGCGCAUCUACAUUGCCAAACUCUAUGUUACACCUUCCAUCUUUGGAGACCAGCCUUGCUCGUUGCCGAGACCGCCCAAAAACGUGGUAAAACGGGAGCAGCCAGCGGCCCACGGUGCUUCCCCCAGACUGUCUGCACUUACCAGCACUCUGAACACACUCCGAUCUGAAGCAUCCAUGGUGGGCAAAGCAAGGCAGUGGUGCUGUUGGGGGUUGUCCGGCUUCUUUUAGACCCACACUAAUGAUUCUUAAGCUUCUGACUGAUGCAUGUUUGGAUUAACUUUCAACAGUUAAUGAGUGGAGUCGUGUGGUUUAAACUAACACAAAUAAAUGGUUGUACUCAGA